rnacentral:rRNA from 1 species
CACUCCUGCGGGAGGCAGCAGUGGGGAAUAUUGGACAAUGGGCGCAAGCCUGAUCCAGCCAUGCCGCGUGAGUGAUGAAGGCCCUAGGGUUGUAAAGCUCUUUCACCGGUGAAGAUAAUGACGGUAACCGGAGAAGAAGCCCCGGCUAACUUCGUGCCAGCAGCCGCGGUAAUACGAAGGGGGCUAGCGUUGUUCGGAUUUACUGGGCGUAAAGCGCACGUAGGCGGACUAUUAAGUCAGGGGUGAAAUCCCGGGGCUCAACCCCGGAACUGCCUUUGAUACUGGUAGUCUUGAGUUCGAGAGAGGUGAGUGGAAUUCCGAGUGUAGAGGUGAAAUUCGUAGAUAUUCGGAGGAACACCAGUGGCGAAGGCGGCUCACUGGCUCGAUACUGACGCUGAGGUGCGAAAGCGUGGGGAGCAAACAGGAUUAGAUACCCCUGUAGUCC